GAAAAAGAACACACCGACAUUGGUUGAACAGUUUUCAAAUUUUGUUGCACUUCAGGCGUGGAAUUAGGGAGAGAGUUGACCGGCCAAAUACGCCCUAUAUGAUCGUUAACUGUAAUGUGCAUGCAAUUCACACUGUUCCUCUUCAAUGGUUAAUGUUAUUUUAUUUUGGGCAAACUAUAGAGUACUUUAAUUUUGAUUUUGAUUUUGUUUUCACACAUAUCUCUCUUUACUGUUUAUAAUUUUCGCGCUUGUAAGCCUAGAUGAAAAAUAAGGAAAGAGAAAAGAACGGGGGAGAGAAGUAGAGGGCAAUCUAUCUCUCUCUUUUUGGAAGAGAGAGAAAUUUCUCUCAUUUGGUUACUUAGCCUUUUUCUCUCGGAACCGCCCAGAAGAUUUUCUUCUGGCUUUCCAUCGACGUUAGUUUAUCCAAUCAGGCGUAAGGUUGCUCUCCUUCUUCCCUGUUUCGAUAUGCAUAGUUUUGAGUUCGGUUUUGCAGGGACUCUGC
rnacentral:misc_RNA from 1 species